rfam:Prosthecochloris sp. CIB 2401, complete genome.
AAGCACGUGGUGUUCAUGAUGCUUCAUGAAGCCGUGGAGCGGAAGCCGGGCGCAAUGGCUCUGUUCCCGCCACAUGCUC